UAGGGAAUCUUCGGCAAUGGACGAAAGUCUGACCGAGCAACGCCGCGUGAGUGAAGAAGGUUUUCGGAUCGUAAAACUCUGUUGUUAGAGAAGAACAAGGACGUUAGUAACUGAACGUCCCCUGACGGUAUCUAACCAGAAAGCCACGGCUAACUACGUGCCAGCAGCCGCGGUAAUACGUAGGUGGCAAGCGUUGUCCGGAUUUAUUGGGCGUAAAGCGAGCGCAGGCGGUUUCUUAAGUCUGAUGUGAAAGCCCCCGGCUCAACCGGGGAGGGUCAUUGGAAACUGGGAGACUUGAGUGCAGAAGAGGAGAGUGGAAUUCCAUGUGUGGCGGUGGAAUGCGUAGAUAUAUGGAGGAACACCAGUGGCGAAGGCGGCGCUCUGGUCUGUAACUGACGCUGAGGCUCGAAAGCGUGGGGAGCAAACAGG
rnacentral:rRNA from 1 species